AUUAAAACAACAUAAGUAAUAUUAACAUUUUAUUCAAUUAUUCAUUGUACAUUAACGUACAUUCAGUGCCGAUACAUAUGGGAUCACUGUUCUGGCUAUUCGAUACGUUUAUAAUCGGAAAACACUAACCUAUUUCAGCAAUUAAAAUUUUCACUUAGGUACAUGUUAGGGUGCGUACUGAUUGACGCAUUCGCUUGUAAUGUAACAGCGAGCAUUCGAACGUUACAUUACCUCACAGUCACCGAUAUCGGUUAAUACCUACGUCAAGCUGAGAAUUAAGUUUGAUAUCUAUAGAACACACUUUGAAUUUAGAUUUAUGCCAGCAGUAUAACGCUGUCUCGUUUUAACAGUGUCUUAACUCUGAGCAAAGGCAAAGUGCGCUAGAAAUCAGUCUUAGACUACACACUUUGCAAUGAAGUUACAACUUUUUAACACUGUUGUAGCGACUGCUGUAUGCUAAUAGUAUGAGCUUUUACAUCUCCCCAACGUUGACG